rnacentral:rRNA from 1 species
AUUGAACGCUGGCGGCAGGCCUAACACAUGCAAGUCGAACGAGUGGCGGACGGGUGAGUAAUGUCUGGGAAACUGCCUGAUGGAGGGGGAUAACUACUGGAAAAUGUAGCUAAUACCGCAUACCAUCGGAUGUGCCCAGAUGGGAUUAGCUAGUUGGCGGGGGAAAGGACUACCAAGGCGACGAUCCGUAACUGGUCUGAGAGGAGGAUCAGUCACACUGGAACGGAGACACGGUCCCAAUUCCUACGGGAGGCAGCAGUGGGGAAUAUUGGACAAUGGGCGAAAGCCUUCUCCAGCCAUGCGGAGUGUGUGAAGAAGGUCUUCGGAUUGUAAAGCACUUUAAGUUGGGAGGCGUUACCAACAGAAUAAGCACCGGCUAACUUCGUGCCAGCCGCCGCGGUAAUAC